AGCACAUACUGAAGCUGCUCGUGUUCAGUUUCUCAUCGACCAACACCCCCAAGUCCUUCUCCGCAGGGCUGCUCUGAAUCACUUCUCUGCCCACCUUUAGAUGUGCCUGGGAUUGCCCUGACCCAGGUGCAGCACCUUGCACGUGGCUUGGUUGAACUUCAUAAGGUUGGCAUCAGCCCACCUCACAAACGCGUCAAGGUCCCUCUGAAUCACAUCCCUUCCCUCCACCGUAUCAACUGAAUCAUGCAGCUCAGUGUCAUCACAAACUUGCUGAGGGUGUGUCAGUCCCAGUGUCCAUGUCACCAACGAAGAUGGUGGACAAGAUUGGUCCCAGUAGCGACCCGAGGAACAGCACUUGUCACUGAUCUAAACUUGGACAUCAAGCCAUUGAUCAUAAUUCUGUGUGCAGCCAUCCAGCCAAUUCUUUACCCACCAGGGUUGGCUGGACAGCGAAACUGCAAGUCUAGAUAAGGUCAACAGCAUCCUCAAAAGAAGCCAUCAACUAAUGUUCAUAUGUACACCAAAAGCCACAAGUAGUCAUUAGCAGCAAGUCCUCCAAACAAAGAAAACUUUCAUAAUCAAUUACAGGAUUGUAAUUUCACCAACUUCCAAAUUAGGACUUGGGCAAUGUUCCCUGGGCAAGGAAGUGAACAAACCCCUGAAGCAUCCUCAACAAACGCCAAAGAGCAGAGGCUAACUGCAGCAGCUCCAAGCACGGAUAGCAACCAAACACCACUUACACAAGGUGUUUCUACAGCUCUCAUGAGCUAUGUAGAAUAAGGAAGCAACUGGGAAAUUGCACCUCUGCAGAACUUGAUGGAAUGUAUGGCAUUGGCUUUAAAAGGACUAAAAUUUGCGUGUAGGAUGGUAACAUUUUUCUCAAGCUGGACAUAAACAAUGUACUACAUUCUAUAUUUAAAGACACAUUACUUAAGAGAAGCAAUAAGGUAGUUCAUAUCACGUUUUGAUAGCUCCUUUCCAGACCCUCUUCUGCCUUAGCACAGUCACAGCUCAAAUUAUGAUAGGUUAAUAAUCUUCCAGAGCAACCUUCUGGUGCAACUACUGACUCCCAUGGUUGUGAACUGUUUCUUUUUAAUAUGUGCAAUUUAAUUUAGGCAAAAUAUGAUUAUCAUUCACGUGUUUUAAACUGAUUUUAAACAAGGUAAGAGAGAACCCUAAACAUUGACUUGUUCAUUGAAAACAAAUUAACAAAUCACCCAUAAGCCAAACUAGUUGGAACAAUGUGGAAUUUUAGG